UUGAGCCUGUGGUGAGGCCAACAACGAUGGAUUCAAAGUACCCUUUGCUGGAGAUCGAAGAGGUAGGUGGUGGUGAUGAAGCUGGCUCUAGCUCCUUCCGCGGUGUUAGCCAUCCUCCAGAGCCUGACGACAUGGACCUCAUAACAACUGUUUAUGUCCCUACCGCCACUAAAGGACCUUUCCUCGAGGAUCUCUCCCUCUGCGUCCCUGAGCCUGCCACAUCUAUGGCUCGUGCCUCUCAGAACACAGACAACUCUCUCCCGCCGCAAGAUUCAGACAAGGAAUGCGUUUGGGACGCGAGCCCACACAACAGCAGCGUGGAAAGCAUAAACUUCGCAAGGGCCAUGAGUAUGGCCAACAGCACUUCCGCUGAUCAGCAGAGGAACGAUGUCGUGCUCAGCAUGGACAAGAACUACAUUGAUAACAGGAGCAUCAACAUGGUGUUCGAUUCGUUCGAGAGCAGAGCGAGCGACAGCAGCUGCUUGAGCGAAGAGAGCAGCUGGAGCAACUUCACGGGGAGUCUCAACAAGCCGCACAAAGGGAACGAUCCGAGGUGGAACGCUAUUUUAGCCGUCAGGACGCGGGACGGUGUGCUAGGGAUGAGCCAUUUCAAGCUGCUGAAGCGGUUGGGGUGUGGUGAUAUAGGGAGUGUGUAUCUGGCGGAGCUGAGUGGGACCAGGUGUCAUUUCGCUGUGAAGGUGAUGGAUAAAGCUUCUCUUGAGAAUAGGAAGAAGCUGAAUAGGGCUCAGACUGAGAGGGAGAUUCUGCAGCUGUUGGAUCAUCCGUUUCUGCCGACGUUGUAUACUCAUUUUGAGACGGAUAGGUUCUCUUGUUUGGUUAUGGAGUAUUGUCCUGGUGGUGAUUUGCAUACUUUGAGGCAGCGCCAGCCUGGGAAGCAUUUCUCUGAGUAUGCUGCUAGGUAUGUCUUCGUCUCUCUGUUCCAAAACAAGGCAUUAGCAUUCGGUUUUUGGUUCGAAAAUCACGGUUUUUGUUUGGUUCUAGAAAUUUAGGAACCCUUGGCUAUCUAUAAAAUUCUAUGUAGUUUUGGUUCAGUUAUUUUGGUUUGGGUAGUAGAGUUGGGAACCGGCUCAUAUCUAGGGAGAAAAAUUGGGACUAGUUUGGUUCCGAUCUGGUUUCGUUUUUUGGGUAAUUUUGGAUAAUAUGGGUAAAAAUAUUGGAUAAUUGGGGGUUUCAAUUUAAUUAUCGGAUAAUUGGGAUUAUUUGGAUAAAAAUAUUGGGUAGUUUGGAUAAAAAACUAUCCAGGUAAUUUGAAUAAUUCGGUUUUGAAAGUAUUUUAAGAUAUUUGGUUAUUUGAAAAUUUAAUAUAAUUGAUAUAUUUAGGUAUAUAAUCUAUAUUUUUAAAAUUCGGGUAUCCAUUAUGUUCUCAGUUUCGUUCCGGUUCGGUUUUGUUUUUUCAGUCUGGUAUAGAUCUGUUUGGAUAUUCAUCAAAUUCGGUUUGAUUUCAGUUUUUUCGGUUCAGCACGGUUUGGUUCCUCUGUUCCGGUUCAAAUUUAUAUAUUUUCACGGUUUGAUUCAUAGUUCCAACGUUACCAGAGCUAAGCUAAGUUUCAUUUCAUUCACUGUGAUGACUCACUUUCUUUAUACGUUUCCUUUUUUUUUGGGCAGGUUCUACGCUGCAGAGGUGCUGCUAGCGCUCGAGUAUCUCCACAUGCUCGGCGUUGUCUACAGAGACUUGAAACCCGAGAACGUCCUCGUCCGAGACGACGGUCACAUAAUGCUCUCAGACUUCGACCUCUCCCUAAGAUGCGCGGUUUCACCAACCCUGAUCAAAACCUUCGACUCCGACCCCUCAAAACGCGGCGCCUUCUGCGUCCAACCCGCUUGCAUAGAGCCCACAUCCUCUUGCAUCAUCCAACCCUCGUGCUUCCUACCGCGUCGCAUCUUCCCUACCAAAAAGAACAAGACUCGUAAAACACAAACAGAUUUCUUCAAAUCACAUCACUCGGGAGGAGGUUCUCUCCCCGAGCUGGUGGCCGAGCCCAACACGAGGUCCAUGUCCUUCGUUGGCACGCACGAGUACUUAGCUCCGGAGAUCAUCAAGGGAGAAGGACACGGAAGCGCGGUGGAUUGGUGGACGUUUGGUAUCUUUGUUCACGAGCUUUUGUACGGUAAGACGCCGUUUAAAGGAUCAGGGAACAGAGCUACUCUGUUUAAUGUGGUGGGAGAGCAGUUGAAGUUCCCUGAGUCGCCGGCCACUAGCUACGCGGGGAGGGACUUGGUUCAGGCGUUGCUGGUGAAAGAUCCGAAGAGUAGGUUGGGGACGAAGAGAGGAGCGACGGAGAUAAAGCAGCAUCCGUUUUUCGAAGGAGUGAACUGGGCGUUGAUAAGGUGUAGUACUCCUCCUGAAGUGCCGAGGCAGAUGGAGGUAGAGCCGCCGCCGAAGUAUGGACCGAUUGAUCCUGUUGGGUUUGGUAGUAACAGCAAGAGGAUGAUGGGACCGCCACCUGUAUCAGCGGCAGCAGCAGGAGGAGGAGGAGGAGAUGCAAAAGCUGGUGGGAAGUUUCUAGACUUUGAGUUUUUCUGAAGGCUUUGUUUUUUUCCCUCAGAAGAGUUUGUGUUUGGUUGCUUAAUUAGUAGUUAUAGUCUUCUUAUGUCAAGGGGGUUUAAUAGAUCAGAGUGGAGGGGGUUAGGAGGUUAAAUCUGUCUUCCAUUUGAACCAAAACUUUUGUAAGGACAUGGAAAGCUCCAAGUCUUAAGAAAAUCUCCUUUGGUACUACUACUAUUACUACUGCUGUGUUUGUCGGAAUCUCUUUUUCUUUUGAGUCAAUGGAUUGUUGUCACUGCCAUGCAUGUUAUGGUGGUCCAAGAAGAAACCCUAUGUUCUUCAGACAAAGAAGAGAAAUGAUCAUGUUGUCAGAUUAGGUGAAUGGUAAAUGGUCUACUUUUACUAUAUGCAUUAUUGAUAUAUAUAUAUAUAUAUGUAUUAAUCAAAUUACUGUUUUGUGCGUUUCUGUAAAAAAAAAAAAUUUGAACUGAUACACCCCAAUUUAAAUAAUAUAUUUUCUGGACUAGUAUUCAAACAAUGAGUUUUCUGUUGAAAGGAAUCAAUGCUAAACAUAGUUAUAAAGAUAUAUUGUAGGAGUACAUUUUAAUAGAUGAUUUAGUCUUUUAUGGUGUGUCCCUUUCCAGUCCCAAACAAGUGUACUGUUGUUGCCUUUCCUCAUUGUCUAUAAGACUACUAAUUUGUUGAGCUGAACUUUGGUCCCAUUCCACUCUCCUUGAUUUUGACUGAACCAACCAUGACGGGCGUUUCAUAAGGCGUAUCAAUUUAUGGGCCUUUGGCCCAAUAUUGUAUCACAGUUUUUUUAGAUAGUUUGUUUCGUUCCGCCGUUCCCUUGCGUAAAAUGCCAACGUCUAUUUAAGUAAAGAAUUACUCAAAUAGAAUUAUUUAAAUGUUUUUCCUGUAUUGGUAUAGAGUGAUGUUACAAAGAAAUGAACCAAUGGAUUGAGUAAAACGAAAGUCAAUUAACAAAGCGUGUCUUUGACGUAUGACUUUGCCUUUGCCUUUCUACGUCGGGCUUAAUAGUAUUUUAGAACAUUCGUCGGCACGUGAAAAUUGUGUUCUUUAAUAUUAGCUAAUAUUUUCUUUAGAGGGGUAAUGAUUAUUAUUUUUUAAAUCCAGAGAGCUUAUGUCUUAUUCCCCUUGGAGCAUCUCCAACCCCUAGUUAUUUUCACCUCUAUAUGCUAUAAUAGAAGUAAAAGUGUUCUAUCUCAUCUCUAUUUUCACCUCUAAAAUAGAGAUUACUAUUUUUUCCUCUAUUUAUAGAGUCAUACUUUUUUAUUUUCAAAAUAGUCCUUUAACUUUCAAUUUUUUAUAGUUGUAACCAAAAUAAUUAUAUUUAUAGAGAAAUACAGCUUUUGUAGGAAUAUAAUAACAUUUUUUAUUUACAUAAUAGUCUUUUAACAAAACUUUAGUUUAAAAAAGUUCAUAAGUUUAUGAAAAUAUUUUAAAAGUUAAAAAUAAAUAGGGUUAGUUAUCAAUUUUUAUAAACAAAAUGUAUCUUUUGUAAAAUUAAAAUAGAAUCUUUUGANNNNNNNNNNNNNNNNNNNNNNNNNNNNNNNNNNNNNNNNNNNNNNNNNNNNNNNNNNNNNNNNNNNNNNNNNNNNNNNNNNNNNNNNNNNNNNNNNNNNNNNNNNNNNNNNNNNNNNNNNNNNNNNNNNNNNNNNNNNNNNNNNNNNNNNNNNNNNNNNNNNNNNNNNNNNNNNNNNNNNNNNNNNNNNNNNNNNNNNNNNNNNNNNNNNNNNNNNNNNNNNNNNNNNNNNNNNNNNNNNNNNNNNNUUUUCUAAAUGGGUUUUGUAAAUGAAAAGUUAAAAAUGAAAUCUUCAAUCCCUAUGGUUGUUAUCGAGCAAUGGAGGGAUAUAAUACAGACAUACACAAACUCGUGUUCUGUAUCUUUGUCUCGAAACCAAAAAAAUUAGCCCUGAGGGUUUAUUACCAAAUCACGCGUUAUAUUUAUUCUCAGACAAGAUGGUCCCAUAUUUUGUUUGAUUGAUUUAGUUAAACAUGUUUUUUUUAUAAGGUAUAAAGAGAUUUGUUUUUGGAGUGUUGAAGAUCUCGUAUGAAUGCUGGAUAUGGAAAGAGUUGGUGAGCUUAGUAAAGGUCCUGUCUCAAGAAGACAAUACCUAGACUUUGAAAAUAGAGAUAACGGUAUGCAUCUCGAGUCUCUGAGGGAACGAGCUGCUCGUUACAAGGGAGGAGGAAGACCAGUGAAUCCCACUACGACGUUAGGGAGAGAGCUAAGCCAAGUUCUCAAUGUACACAGAGACGAGAUGAUGAUGAUUGGUGGUGAUAUGAAUGAUUUUCAGGAGUUUGAGCCUGUGGUGAGGCCAACAACGAUGGAUUCAAAGUACCCUUUGCUGGAGAUCGACGAGGUAGGUGGUGGUGGUGGUGGUGAUGAAGCUGGCUCCAGCUCGUUCCGCGGUGUUAGCCAUCCUCCAGAGCCUGACGACAUGGAUCUCAUAACAACUGUUUAUGUCCCUAGCUCCACUAAAGGACCUUUCCUCGAGGAUCUCUCCCUCUGCGUCCCUGAGCCUGCCACAUCUAUGGCUCGUGCCUCUCAGAACACAGACAACUCUCUCCCGCCGCAAGAUUCAGACAAGGAAUGCGUUUGGGACGCGAGCCCACACAACAGCAGCGUGGAAA
rnacentral:lncRNA from 1 species